GUUGAACGCUGGCGGCAGGCUUAACACAUGCAAGUCGAGCGGAGAUGAGGUGCUUGCACCUUAUCUUAGCGGCGGACGGGUGAGUAAUGCUUAGGAAUCUGCCUAUUAGUGGGGGACAACAUUCCGAAAGGAAUGCUAAUACCGCAUACGUCCUACGGGAGAAAGCAGGGGACCUUCGGGCCUUGCGCUAAUAGAUGAGCCUAAGUCGGAUUAGCUAGUUGGUGGGGUAAAGGCCUACCAAGGCGACGAUCUGUAGCGGGUCUGAGAGGAUGAUCCGCCAGACUGGGACUGGGACACGGCCCAGACUCCUACGGGAGGCAGCAGUGGGGAAUAUUGGACAAUGGGCGGAAGCCUGAUCCAGCCAUGCCGCGUGUGUGAAGAAGGCCUUUUGGUUGUAAAGCACUUUAAGCGAGGAGGAGGCUACUUAGAUUAAUACUCUAGGAUAGUGGACGUUACUCGCAGAAUAAGCACCGGCUAACUCUGUGCCAGCCGCCGCCGUAAUAC
rnacentral:rRNA from 1 species